rfam:Endozoicomonas numazuensis strain DSM 25634 scaffold00003, whole genome shotgun sequence.
AAAGUCCCUGUGGGGUAAGGCAGGCGAGCCGCCCCAGCCCCGAGUCAUGCGCCUGCUACCGUAAGGUAACCGGUGAAGCGUUGACAGGGGUGCCAGUAGGCUAAGUAUUGAGCUGCGAAAUCAAAUAGUUUGAGGUGCUGAUGUUGUUAUGUUCUGCAGAAAGCAAAAUCACCAAUUGCGCUAAAUCGCAAGUGGCUGGUGAACCUCACGCAGUCGUAGACCU